CGUAGUGUUAUGAAAGCGUAAAAAUAAGGCGCGGAGAGCCGCCCGCGAGUUUUAUGACUGAGGCUUCUGCCUGUUCAAACAACUGACGAGAACGAGCUGUCUCUCUCGCACUCGAACGUCUCACUGGCACGUGACACCGCGUCUCUAGUUGCAACACAUAGGUGUGAAGAAAGGAGAAAGAAGCUAAAGUGUUUUCUUCAAAGAAACAUUUGACAGUUUGUUUUCGCGAAGUGUUUUCGUUGGGAUCGAGGGGCAGGAGGGAGUGAGAAGAUCCGUGUCUAUGAGUUUAUUAUUAGAAAUCUCUCUAGAACGCGUUUUUUAGUUUUCUACAAAUUUUCCAUUCUAGGAGUGUUUCGCGGGUAAAAAUAAUUUUACUACAUAGUUCCGUUUGUAAGUGCAAGAAACGACUCGUGUAUCGCGGAGCUGGCGAUGUAAUGACACUCCCAAAUAAAAUAUUUAAUGGGUACAUCGGCUUCUAAUAAACGCCUAUCAUUGUAUUGUCGCGAGGGAAUAAUAAAAAAGAAAAAAAUGUGCGAUACAGGCAGAGAAAAAGAACGGCUACACUGCGAUUGCCGACCUGUAUGACCUGUAAAAUCGAUAAAUUUAAUCAAUGCAUAAGCAUUGCACGAAUAUAGAUAGCUUGUUUUGAUUCACCGACGCAGCCAGAUGCCGAGCACAUGCAUUUCUUAUCGUUUUCUUUUUUCCCUUCUUCUUCUCCGCCGUCUCCGCCCGCGAGGCGCCAAAAAAGAUAAAAAAGAAUUUAUGCCCACUGCCAUCUGUUAGCGAAACAUUCGUACCUGUUCAAAAUCUACAUGAUGACGAUUCUCUACCUCGACGAAUUUUCUGCUCCAUCUGCUCCAGCGAAUUUCUUCCUUUCGUCCAGGAACGUUGAAACAACGAUGAGAUCACUCAAAUGCCGAUGCGGU